rnacentral:antisense_RNA from 1 species
UUUGAUCGACCCCAACCACAACGGUCGAUCCGCGGGCCGGUCCUGCCCAUACGUCGCUAACAGCGCUUGCGCCUC